GCCGGCAGCUAGCUCUCUCUGCAACUCUCACAUGGUCGCCCACUGAAGCUAAGCAAGGCUGUGUACUGUCAGUACCUGGAUUGGAGACCACAUGUGAAAGCUAGGUUGCUGCUGGAA
rnacentral:rRNA from 1 species